ensembl:lncRNA
UGAUUGAGUUGCACCUUGUUUCAAACCAAUCAGUGCCAGAACAGAAUGGGAUUAGAUGUGAGUCCUUCUUUAAAGCUUCAGCAGCGUUCCUCAUUUCAGCAGCUGUAGUUGUAGUGGCAGGCUCACUGGCGUACUACAGUUGCUCGCCAGCUCAACCAUGGCUUUAAUAAUGCGGGUACUUCAAUUGUCUCUACUCCUUGAUGUGGGGUGUCAAGUACAUGCUUACAGGAUCGGAUAUGCUGAGCCGGAGAUGCCUACGUAUGGGCUGCAGCAGCCUCCUAGCUACAACCCAGCAGCAACCUCCUAGCUACAAGCCCCACCCCCAGCAGCAGCAUCCUAGCUACAAGCCCCAGCAGAAGCAUCCUAGCUACAAGCCGCAGCAGCAGCAGCAGCAUCCUAGCUACAAGCCCCAGCAGCAGCAGCAGCAUCAUCCUAGCUACAAGCCCCAGCAGCAGCAGCAGCAUCCUAGCUACAAACAGCAGCAUCCUAGCAACAAGCAGCAGCAGCAGCAGCAACAUCCUAGCUACAAGCCCCAGCAGCAGCAGCAACAGCAGCAGCUACAAGCCAGCAGCAGCAGCAGCAACAUCCUAGCUACAAGCCCCAGCAGCAGCCUGGCAGCAGCAGCAGCAGCAGCAGCAGCAGCAUCCUAGCUACAAGCCCCAGCAGCAGCAGCAGCAACAUCCUAGCUAGCAGCAGCAGCAGCAACAUCCUAGCUACAAGCCCCAGCAGCAGCAGCAGCAGCAGCCAUCCCAGCAGCAGCAUCCAGCUACAGCCAGCAGCAGCAGCAGCAUCCUAGCUACAAGCCCCAGCAGCAGCAGCAUCCUAGCUACAAGCCCCAGCAGCAGCAGCAUCCUAGCUACAAGCCCCAGCAGCAGCAGCAGCAACAUCCUAGCUACAAGCCCCAGCAGCAGCAGCAGCAGCAGCUACAAGCCCCAGCAGCAGCAACAUCCUAGCUACAAGCCCAGCCCAGCAGCAGCAGCAGCAACAUCCUAGCUACAAGCCCCAGCAGCCCAGCAGCAGCAGCAACAUCCUAGCUACAAGCCCCAGCAGCAGCAGCAACAUCCUAGCUACAAGCCCCCCAGCAGCAGCAGCAACAUCCUAGCUACAAGCCCCAGCAGCAGCAACAUCCUAGCUACAAGCCCCCCAGCAGCAGCAACAUCCUAGCUACAAGCCCAGCAGCAGCAGCAGCAGCAGCAGCAUCCUAGCUACAAGCCCCAGCAGCAGCCUUCACAGCAGCAGCAGCAGCAGCAGCAUCCUAGCUACAAGCCCCAGCAGCAGCAGCAACAUCCUAGCUACAAGCCCCAGCAGCAGCAGCAGCAGCAUCCUAGCUACAAGCCCCAGCAGCAGCAGCAGCAGCAACAUCCUAGCUACAAGCCCCAGCAGCAGCAGCAGCAGCAACAUCCUAGCUACAAGCCCCAGCAGCAGCAGCAGCAGCAGCAGGCAACAUCCUAGCUACAAGCCCCAGCAGCAGCAGCCUUCUAGCUACAAGCCCCAGGAGCCAGCAGCAGCCACAGGAGCCUAGCUACGACCAGCAACAGCAGCAGCAGCAGCAUCCUAGCUACAAGCCCCAGCAGCAGCAGCAUCCAGCGACAAGCAGCAGCAGCAUCCUAGCUACAAGCCCCAGCAGCAGCAGCAGCAUCCUAGCCAAGCCCCAGCAGAAGCAGCAACAUCCCAGCUACAAGCCCCAGCAGCAGCAGCAAAUGCAGCAGCAUCAGCAGCCUGCCAAGAUAUCAGCGGUCAAAGAACAGCAGCAACAUGCAAGCAGCAUCCUAGCUACAAGCCCCAGCCGCAGCCGCAGCAUCCAAGCUACAACAUCCCAUUUACAAGCCCCCCAGCAGCAGCAACAUCCCAUUUACAAGCCCCAGCAGCUGCCAGCAGCAGCAACCCAGCUACAAGCCCAGCAGCAGCAACAUCCUAGCUACAAGCCCCAGCCCAAGCAGCAGCAGCAGCAGCAACAUCCUAGCUACAAGCCCCAGCCAGCAGCAGCAUCCUGGCUACAAGCCCCAGCAGCAGCAGCAGCAGCAACAUCCUAGCUACAAGCCGCAGCAGCCCCUGCAAGCAUCCUAGCUACAAGCCCCAGCAGCAUUCUAGCUACAAGCCCCAGCAGCCUCCUAGCUACAAGCCCCAGCCGCAGCCGCAGCAUCCAAGCUACAAGCAUCCUAGCUACAAGCCCCAGCAGCAACUCAGAAGUUGAGAAGUUUGCAUUCUGUAACUUUGCUUCAUUGAAAAUUCCAUCAAAUCCUUCAAUGGUAUAAAGUUCUCAAUUGUGUUCCUGCCAUGACAUGGUUCUACGGUCCAAAUUUGACAAAAGAAUAAAAAUAUCACUUUUAAAUAGUCAAAUUGGUCAUUGGCUAGGCUGAAUGCCAGCAGCAAAUUCAGAAACCUAUUUUGAUGCCUUUUCAGGAGCCGCUGCUUUGGUCUAAUGCAACGUUACAGUUCAGUAUGGAGUCUUUUUAUUAGAUCUUUAGUAUCUAGCUACCAGCCGCAUCAGCUUCCUGAACACCAGCAGAAGCCCCCAAACUACGAGCAGCAGCCUCCUUAUUUCAAGACGUCAUCUGAAUGUGUUUUGAAUUCACCUCUGGCAAUACAGAAAUUCAAACGUUCACUAAUUUAGAUACAUAAGGUUGCACUACUCUACAAGUGGUCAAACGACUGAAGAACCAGAAAAUUCAAUGGCCUGGCCCACUGCUCCACCUCUAGCAGAAGGCUUCUCCUCUCACCUGGCUGUCAGAUCCGUCAAUGCUACCACCACCUGAAAGGUGCCAGUGAAACCUGUAUCCAGUAAUGGUUGUAAAAGGCUGGUGAGACUCGCUCAGCCCCUUACUAUCUUGCAUCAGACGCCUACCCCACUUACAUCAGUGCCCUACCCCUGGGCAUAACCCAUAGCCAGGGAUGUGGCGUGCGGAUCGCGUCUGUUAUGAUAGCUCUCCUCUGGGAUCCGUGCACUUAGUGAAUUUGCUGAGAUUGUUCUAUUUCAUGUAGGC